ACGAACGCUGGCGGCGUGCCUAACACAUGCAAGUCGAACGGAGAUAGUUUGAAAGCUUGCUGAUAACUAUCUUAGUGGCGCACGGGUGAGUAACACGUGGGCAACCUGCCCGGAAGACUGGGAUAACACCUCGAAAGGGGUGCUAAUACCGGAUACCUUCACGAAGUCGCAUGACUUUGUGCAGAAAGAAAUUCGCUUCCGGAUGGGCCCGCGUCCCAUUAGCUAGUUGGCGAGGUAACGGCUCACCAAGGCGACGAUGGGUAGCUG
rnacentral:rRNA from 1 species